GCACUGUUGACGAGCCCCAAACAGGACGAAACAGCUGUCCAGUGU
rfam:Echinostoma caproni strain Egypt genome assembly, scaffold: ECPE_scaffold0006949